GUCCGGAAAAUUUUACUAAUAUACUAAUUACUGUCAUUGUCUGGUCUCCUGUUUCCUACAACUAGCAGUUUUAAUUUUACAAUCAGUCAUCAAAAAAGGAUUUGAAAUGAAGCAACUUAAUGGACAUUAAAGAACGUUCCAUUUAGAAUUUCAACAUCUUUUUAUCAGCAUCAAAGUUAAAUCAAGUUUUGCUAGCUAAUUAACAUGUAAUUUUAUUAAUAAGUCAAAAUUAUGCAGAAAGCCAAGAAAACUAAAUUUAUUAUAUACGCAAUAUGAUAGCACAACAACGCUAUUACAGAAUUCUUUUGCUAUUGGACUUAUGAUGAAAAAAAAAAAAAAAACGAGCGUAAAGGGAGUUAAUCAAAAACAAGAAAUUUACACUAGGGCCGCCAAGCCAGCCAAAGCACUGUUUCUUUUGGCUUUCCUCUUUUUCUUUGUAUUUAGUACAGUACUUGCUCUUUUCUCAACGGGAAUAGGAUUGGAUCUAUCUUCCUUCUCCGAAUUGUCGCUUUCAUCUGAAGAACUCCCUGACUCUUCACUUUCAGAAGAUUCAUCAGAACGCCCUUCUUCUUUUGAUUCCUGCAUACUGACCGCGGUCUUCUUCGUAAGAGAAGGUUCUCUAAUUUCAGGAGAAAACGUUUUAGACAAUUCUGAAAGACGUGAGUAAGACAAUGUCCUAUGAGUCUCCGGUCUUUCCGUAGAAGGCUUAGCUUUAGGUUCCUUCGGGGAUCCUUUGGUUCCUCUAUUCUGUAUCUCGUGAGAUACAGAAUUUCGUUGUUGUGAUUUCUUCUGUAGUUGACUUAAAGGAACAGAGGAGUCCGAGUCUGAAUCCGAAUCUGAAUCAUUUUCAGAACCAAUCUCAUCAGAAGGUUCAUUUCCCGCUGCAGAUAUCGUCGAUGUAGUAACAAGGGUCUGGGAAGGAGGGGGAAAUUUGCUUUUACCAUUCUCACUUUCUUUAUCAUGCUUAGCUGAAACGUUAUCAUUAACCAGAGAUUUAUUCGGGCUAUCAACCUUCGUUAAAUCAUCACUAGUAUCUGAAUUUUCGGACGGGGAAGAAGAUAUAGAGGUCGUAGAGGAUUCAGAAAGGGUAUCGUUCUCCGAUUCGGUGGUAUCGUUUUCGGAAGGAACGGCAGUGGAUGGAUGAGAUGAAGUUUCUCUAACUAUUAUUGCAGGAGCUCUAAUUUCAUGCUUUGCCUCCGUUUCUUUUUCAUCGGAUACAUCUGAUGAACUGUCAUCAUUGACUGAAUCUUCAUUUGGGCUUUCAACAGAAACUUCUCGAGUAGAAGAACGCAAUGAUUUAUCAUCAAUUCCAUCAAUGGUUUCACUUUCUUUAAUUAAUGCGGCAGGAGAAUGUUCGACUAAAUAUUUUCUAUCAUUAUCUUUCAUGCGAAGACGGGAAGGCGAUGAUAAAGUUCGCAAGGGAGCAUCUGACGAUGAAUCAGAAGACGCAUCGUUAAUUGAAAAAAAGUUAGCUCGAUUAUAAGUUGUUGGUUGACUUGGUGUUAAGGAACUAUUGAAGGAUUGGUGAUUAUCAUCUUCCUCCUGAGUAACUGAUAAAUUAACUAUACCGUCAGCCUUUCUAUCUUUAUCUGGACUUUCAAUUUCUUUUAAAGCAAUCCCUUCGGUUAAUGUACUUUCAUUAUCAUGAUUUGAAGAAAUUGAGUAUGCUCGAUCGCGAAUACUAGUUGGUCUGUAUACAAAUCCAGGAGAGUUCGCAUCAAUUGCCUCUACAAAAUUUUUUUUUGGUAGUUUUCGAGGGUUUUCACUCUCAUCCGGAUGCGUACGCUUCCCAUUGAUUGCAUGAACACCAUUAGAUGCACUUUGGACAGUAGCGAAAUCAUUUUCAACGCCAUCUAAAUCAUGUUGAAUAUUUUUUUCUUUGAAGUUUAUCAUAGUCCCAUCUAAUUUCUUCAACGGAGAAGAGAAUGAUUCGACAAUGACCUUGGAAUUAGUGGGAAAGAUUUCACCGACUAAGUACUCAUUAGGAAUGUCGUAGCUUUCUUCAUUUUUUAUAUUUCUUAUGUUUAUAUUUCUAUAAUAAUUUUCGUUAAUAGUAGAAAGAUGGAGCAUGCUGCUAUGCUUACGAUUCAAAAGGAUAAAGUGAUUUGUAAGUUUCCUGCACUUUUUCUUUUAAUAAAGAAAUUGAAGAAGAUGGGUCAAACAGAAUCAUAAAUUGAUUAUCUUGUUCACCAUCUUUGAUUAUAUGAAGCCUUAAUGUAGUUCUCAUUUCGAAUAUUCAGCAAAUUUCUUUAUUUGAUUCUUACGGAGAAGUGGAUCCGGCAAACUAGUUAUAAUGGAAUUAAUCAGUAUUAAAAAGACGUUAAAACAAAGUAAGUUAUUUAAAAUGGAAUGCCCAUUUCUUGACACCAAUGGGUAUCCAAAGUUGGUUGCUCUAAGGAAGUGCGUAAAGUUCUAUUCGCAAUUUACUCGGCAUGACAGCAGGAAGGGUGGGACAGCAGUGAUGAACAAGUUAAAGGUGUAAAAUAAUGCUAAAUGUCAAGAAAUAAAAACUCAUUACUCAUUCCUACGACUCGAGCAUAUUGACACGUAUCUUAAGGUUUUAUGGUCCUUCCAAAUCUAACGAAACAUAUUGGCUUAAUAUAUCUUCCUUUCAAUUGCGUGAAUUAACAUUUGAAUACAAGUAAAUAAACUAUCAUAGAUUAAAAGAACGACAGAUGUAUUAGUCAGAAUUAAAGAAUAUUCAACA